GAACUGAACAAUACGCAAGAAAUAUACAAUUUCUCCCCAGAUCUCCAAUGUUUUAAAGCUGGUAGGUUCAGCUCCUAACAACAGUUUUCAUUAGCAAGGCCACAGACCAAAUGUUUUUUAAUCUGUCCUUCAAUCAUUGUAAUUGAGUGGCAGCUAUUGAUUAAAUGGUCAUGUGGACUGGUGCUGACUACUUCAGGUAAGAAGGGGGUGGGCAGGAAGUGGCAAUUUCUGGUGUCUAUAAUAUACAUGCUGCUGUUAUUCAUGUGGCCAAAGGCUUUAAUAUAUUGUCUGCUAGACUUAGAGAAUGAAGUUUGUAGCAGAAGUGAGGGGACUGACAGAGUUGUGCCUGCCUGGAUUCUUGUGCAGCACAAAGCACUUGCCAUAUGUUGCAUCGUCAGAAGAGGAGUCUCAGGGAUUCACACACUUGGACUUUACUGA
rnacentral:lncRNA from 1 species